UAGCCGAUUGGUCAGCCCCCUCAUCUGCUGAACGGCUUUGGCUCAAACCGUAAAAGCAGUUGGCCCAGCUGCAUCUGUAAGUUACAAAUACGGAACAGGACAGAAAUUGCACUCAGUUGUAUGCUUUCAUCAGAUCAGUUUUCCCAAAUUUGAAUAAUGAAGAUUUGAAAGUUAUUGUAGAGAAGAUUCAGGAUUUGGGAGUAAACCACACAGAAGAUGUCCAGUACAUAAAGGAGGAAGAACUGCUUGGUGUUCUGAAACCAGUUCAAGCACGGAAAUUGAUUUCUAGCAAUUUAGUCACAAGUGUUUUGCCAACAUCAUCCCAGAAAGAGGCACAAAAGUUCAGCGGAGCAACUCAAAGAAACGGUAUGCUGUAAACCCAAGAGAGCUCACCUUCAUUUAUGCAAUUGCAGGUUUUGAAUGGAGGCAAUGAAAACAAAAGUAUUAACUGA